CCGCGUUCAGUCGGGUGCCGGCAGCAGUGGCAGUGCCGUCCUAUUCUCUGGCUCUCCUCGCCACCUCUCCUCCUUGCUUCCGGAAACAUGGCCUCUGGUGUGGCUCUCUCUGAUGGCAUCAUCAAGUUGUUCAAUGACAUGAAGGUGCGCAAGUCUUCCACACCAGAGGAGGUGAAGAAGCGCGAGAAGGCGGUGCUCUUCUGCUUGAGUGAGGACAAGAAGAACAUCAUCCUGGAGGAGGGCAAGGAGAUCCUGGUAGGUGACAUAGGCCAGACUGUCGAUGACCCCUACGCCACCUUUGUCAAGAUGCUGCCAGACAAGGACUGCCGCCAUGCCCUCUAUGACACAACUUAUGAGACCAAGGAGAGCAAGAAGGAGGACCUGGUGUUUAUCUUCUGGGCUCCUGAGUGUGCACCCCUUAAGAGUAAAAUGAUUUAUGCCAGCUCCAAGGACGCCAUCAAGAAGAAGCUGACAGGAAUCAAGCAUGAAUUACAAGCAAACUACUAUGAGGAGGUCAAGGAUCGCUGCACCCUGGCAGAGAAACUGGGGGGCAGUGCCGUCAUCUCCCUGGAGGGCAAGCCUUUGUGAGCCCCUUCUGGUGCCCUGCCUAGAGCAUCUGGCAGCCCCAGACCUGCUCUCGGGGGUUGCAGGCUGCCCCCUUCCCUAACUGCCUUUGAUCUUGAUUCCUCUUGGGUUGAAGUAGACCAAGUUCCCCAUGGGCACCCCAGUUUGGGGGGGGCGCUGUAUUUUUUUUAACAAAACCCUCACUCCCCACCUGUUCCUCUCCCUUUCCGUGCUGCCAACUUCUAACUGCAUAGUGACUCUGUGCUUGUCUGUUUAGUUCUGUGUACAAAUGGAAUGUUGUGGAGAUGACCCCUCCCCAUGCCGGCUGGUUCCUCUCCCUUUUCCCUUGGUCAUGGCCAUUCAUGUAAGCAGGACCAGUAAGGGACUUUCGAUUAAAAAAGACAAAAAA